rnacentral:rRNA from 1 species
AAUGAAGCGCCAUGGAGGGUGAGAGCCCCGUCCAUCCCGCACAGGAUCCAUUCGUACAAGGACGCUUCAACCGAGUCGGGUAGCUUGGGAAUGCUGCUCUAAUUGGUGGUAAAUCUCAUCAAAGGCUAAAUAGUGGUGGGAGACCGAUAGCGAACAAGUACCGUGAGGGAAAGAUGGAAAGAACUUUGAAAAGAGAGUGAAAAGCACUUGAAACCGUCACGGGGGAAGCGGAUUGCGUGAGUGAUGGUGUCGCUUGUUCAGCGCUUUAUUGCGUGCAUUCUGGCGGCGCCGUGCCGGCGUGGCUGGCUGGACUGUGAUUUUGACAGUCUCGGCUGGUGAGGGCUCCCUCGUAUGAGGUGAGGACGCGGGCAAAAUGACGCAAUACGACCCGUCUUGAAACACGGACCAAGGAGUCUAGCACGGCUGCGAGUCGAAGAGUGAUUAAACUCAAGGGCGCAGUGAAAGCGAAAUUAUAAGCAAAUUGGGGAGGCGUUGCGUUUUUAACAAAAUGUCCUACCUCGAGCAUUUGUGCUGGGACCCGAAAGAUGGUGAACUAUGCCGGAGUAGGGCAAAGCCAGAGGAAACUCUGGUGGAGGCUCGUAGCGAUGCUGACGUGCAAAUCGCUCGUCGAACUUGGGUAUAGGGGCGAAAGACUAAUCGAACCAUCUAGUAGCUGGUUCCCUCCGAAGUUUCUCUCAGGAUAGCGGGCCGACACGCGUUUGUUGUUUUGUGCGGUAAAGCGAAUGAUUAGUGCAUUUGGGGUACGAAGUACUUCGGGCGAUUCUCAAACUUUAAAUGCGCAAGGGGGUGGCUGCUUAAUUGAGCCUACUCUUUGAAAAACGUCGGCCCUGUGGGCCACUUUUGGUAAGCAGAACUGGCGAUAAGGGAUGAACCUUAAGCGCGGUUAA